rnacentral:rRNA from 1 species
UACGGAGGAUGCGAGCGUUAUCCGGAUUUAUUGGGUUUAAAGGGUGCGUAGGCGGACUGUUAAGUCAGCGGUAAAAGCCCGGGGCUCAACCCCGGCGAGCCGUUGAAACUGGCUGUCUUGAGAUGUCGAGAGGUAUGCGGAAUGCGCAGUGUAGCGGUGAAAUGCUUAGAUAUUGCGCAGAACUCCGAUUGCGAAGGCAGCCUUCCGGCGCCCUACUGACGCUGAGGCACGAAAGUGCGGGGAUCGAACAGG